rnacentral:misc_RNA from 1 species
UUUUUUUUUUUUUAAAAAAAAGAUUCUGCAUUCUGUAAAGCUUAUGUGCAAGUUUGAAGUCAAAUGAUCUGCAUUGCUUGAAUUUUUAUGGAAAGUACUCUACUAUAACCAUAUAUAGUUAUAAGCUGACUGAAUAGUAUGUACAUUUGUUCUUUGCUUGAAACUUCUUGAAGGUUUUCCUUGGGUGGUUGAAAAUAGUUCAUUGACUGAUAAAAAUUUGUUAUUAAUAUAUUAAUCAGUUUUCUUGGUUAGAAUAAAUUGUUGAAAGUUUCCUUGAGUGCACCAAUUUGCAUGUACUAUGGAACAUUGACUAAUAUUGCUUUGGCUAGUGAUUGCUUUGUUUCCCCUUCUGAUGUUGGGAUGGUAAAACUGAAUGAAGUCAUAUUUCAUUAAUUCUUUUACAUUGGUUUUUAACAUCAUACUGUGUUUGCAUAUGUCUAACAUAGUUUUUGGUUCAAUUCAACUACAAAUUAGAAUUUUGGAAGUUAUUUGAAAUGAAUUUUAAAUAGAAUUCAUUUGAAAUGAAUUUCACUAUUUGGUAUGAUACAACUUAAAUUGUAAAAUUUAAUUGAAUUUCAUAUAAUUCAUGUUUCAUAUAAUUCUAGAUUUGAAAUUUGUUUGUUCUCAUUUUCUAAACUACCCUCAAUAAAACUCUAAACCUAAUAAAACUCUUAAUUCUAUUAAAACAUUAAAACUAUUAAUAAAAUUCUAAACCUAAUAAAACU